rnacentral:rRNA from 1 species
UACAGAGGGGGCAAGCGUUGUUCGGAAUUACUGGGCGUAAAGGGCGCGUAGGCGGCUUGCUAAGUCGAACGUGAAAUCCCUGGGCUUAACCCAGGAACUGCGUCCGAUACUGGCAGGCUUGAAUCCGGGAGAGGGAUGCGGAAUUCCAGGUGUAGCGGUGAAAUGCGUAGAGAUGUGGAGGAACACCAGUGGCGAAGGCGACUCUUUGGCCUGUAACUGACACUGAGGCGCGAAAGCGUGGGGAGCAAACAGG